rnacentral:ncRNA from 1 species
GAAAAUUCUAGGAAAAAGAAAGUAGCCUAAAUAGAGUUUCAGCGAGUUAGGGUAUGGUGUGAGCCUAAUAAUAAAGUUUAGUGUGAAGAGAGCUUUGGAGAAGAUUAUCAGAACCUAAGUAUGAUAAUAGGUAGCGCCUGCCUUAAGGGUUUGAGAGGAUAGAGCUCAACUCAAGUAAUGAGAAUUUUGUUUAGCAACGGAUUUGUCUGAAAUAAUAGCAAAGACAUAUCGUUGGCGAAACGAGCGGAGUGAGUUUUAUCAACAAGAGUGGUAACGCGGUUAAUUCGUCUCUUAG